rnacentral:rRNA from 1 species
GAUGAACGCUAGCUACAGGCUUAACACAUGCAAGUCGAGGGGCAGCAUGAACUUAGCUUGCUAAGUUUGAUGGCGACCGGCGCACGGGUGAGUAACACGUAUCCAACCUGCCGAUGACUCGGGGAUAGCCUUUCGAAAGAAAGAUUAAUACCCGAUGGCAUAGUUCUUCCGCAUGGUAGAACUAUUAAAGAAUUUCGGUCAUCGAUGGGGAUGCGUUCCAUUAGGUUGUUGGCGGGGUAACGGCCCACCAAGCCUUCGAUGGAUAGGGGUUCUGAGAGGAAGGUCCCCCACAUUGGAACUGAGACACGGUCCAAACUCCUACGGGAGGCAGCAGUGAGGAAUAUUGGUCAAUGGACGAGAGUCUGAACCAGCCAAGUAGCGUGAAGGAUGACUGCCCUAUGGGUUGUAAACUUCUUUUAUAAAGGAAUAAAGUCGGGUAUGUAUACCCGUUUGCAUGUACUUUAUGAAUAAGGAUCGGCUAACUCCGUG